AGGCAGCAGUGAGGAAUAUUGGUCAAUGGGCGUAAGCCUGAACCAGCCAAGUCGCGUGAGGGAUGAAGGUUCUAUGGAUCGUAAACCUCUUUUAUAAGGGAAUAAAGUGUGGGACGUGUCCUAUUUUGUAUGUACCUUAUGAAUAAGGAUCGGCUAACUCCGUGCCAGCAGCCGCGGUAAUACGGAGGAUCCGAGCGUUAUCCGGAUUUAUUGGGUUUAAAGGGUGCGUAGGCGGCCUUUUAAGUCAGCGGUGAAAGUCUGUGGCUCAACCAUAGAAUUGCCGUUGAAACUGGGGGGCUUGAGUAUGUUUGAGGCAGGCGGAAUGCGUGGUGUAGCGGUGAAAUGCUUAGAUAUCACGCAGAACCCCGAUUGCGAAGGCAGCCUGCCAAGCCAUGACUGACGCUGAUGCACGAAAGCGUGGGGAUCAAACAGGAUUAGAUACCCUGGUAGUCCACGCAGUAAAAGAUGAUCACUAGCUGUUUGCGAUACAGUGUAA
rnacentral:rRNA from 1 species